rnacentral:rRNA from 1 species
UACGGAGGGUGCAAGCGUUAUCCGGAUUCACUGGGUUUAAAGGGUGCGUAGGUGGGUUGGUAAGUCAGUGGUGAAAUCUCCGUGCUUAACAUGGAAACUGCCAUUGAUACUACUGAUCUUGAAUUUUCAGGAGGUAAGCGGAAUAUGUCAUGUAGCGGUGAAAUGCUUAGAUAUGACAUAGAACACCAAUUGCGAAGGCAGCUUACUACAGGAAUAUUGACACUGAUGCACGAAAGCGUGGGGAUCAAAACAGG